rnacentral:rRNA from 1 species
AACGAACGCUGGCGGCAUGCCUAACACAUGCAAGUCGAACGAGGCCUUCGGGUCUAGUGGCGCACGGGUGCGUAACGCGUGGGAACCUGCCCUUAGGUUCGGAAUAACUCCCCGAAAGGGGUGCUAAUACCGGAUAAUGUCUUCGGACCAAAGAUUUAUCGCCUUUGGAUGGGCCCGCGUUGGAUUAGCUAGUUGGUAGGGUAAAAGCCUACCAAGGCGACGAUCCAUAGCUGGUCUGAGAGGAUGAUCAGCCACACUGGGACUGAGACACGGCCCAGACUCCUACGGGAGGCAGCAGUGGGGAAUAUUGGACAAUGGGCGAAAGCCUGAUCCAGCAAUGCCGCGUGAGUGAUGAAGGCCUUAGGGAUGUAAAGCUCUUUUACCCGGGAUGAUAAUGACAGUACCGGGAGAAUAAGCUCCGGCUAACUCCGU